rnacentral:rRNA from 1 species
CAGUAGCCACGGUAAAACGAAGGGUGCAAGCGUUAAUCGGAAUUACUGGGCGUAAAGCGUGCGUAGGCGGUUUGUUAAGUCUGCUGUGAAAUCCCCGGGCUCAACCUGGGAAUGGCAGUGGAUACUGGCAAGCUAGAGUGUGUCAGAGGAUGGUGGAAUUCCCGGUGUAGCGGUGAAAUGCGUAGAGAUCGGGAGGAACAUCAGUGGCGAAGGCGGCCAUCUGGGACAACACUGACGCUGAGGCACGAAAGCGUGGGGAGCAAACAGGAUUAGAUACCCCUGUAGUCCCUGUCUCUUAUAC